CGGACAGAAUAGCGUUAGCUCGCAUUCGUCGGCUUGCCGGCGUGAGUUACAGAGGAGCAGCCACACCAUAGAUCCCCGCUCACGGCCACUACGCGCACCAUCUGCCGUCGCGCCGCGAGCUCCGCUUGGCCGCGCCCUGCGGUAGUCACACGUGAGCUCUGCCGACACCCAGUGCGCACGGUCGACCUGCGAGCCACCUGCACCGCGUUGAACCCCACCAUGGCCUCGUGCUCGCUACCGCAGUGUCGCACGUGGCCAGCGUUGGCUGUCGCCAUGACUGCGGAGUGGGGCAAGAUCCACGGAGCUGCGCAUGGGGUGAGCAUAUCGGCCCGUGUUGCUAAAUUCUGGCUGGCUAUCGUUUGGGCUGAGCGGCAGAUAUGGCGAAUUUCAACACCUCAGGUGGCUCAGGUUCGGUUCCUUUACCUCGCUUGUUGUUUUUGGUUGUUAUGUGUUUCCUCGGCAUGUUCUACCUGAAUUGAGUUUCCCUGGAGAGUAAUGAGCUCCUAUGUGGACGCUAAGAAUUAGAGACGUGUAUUUGAGUGCUUGACCCGUUUCGUAAAUAAGAGUAGUGAUCAAGUUCUUAUAAUUCGAGGCGGCCCGACAUUGUUAUGUAGUUUCCUAAUAAGAAUAGUGAUCAAAUUCUUAUAAUUCGAAGUGGUCCGACAUUAUUAUGUAGGAAAAAGAAACUUACAUGCUUUCUAGGUUGAUGGACUGGUGCUUUCACCGUGCCUGACAGAGAAUCAGGCAAGUGGUGGAUGCCUGCAUGCAGUGCUAGCUCAGAUUGUAAUACUGGUUAAAUCAACUCAUAAUCAAUGGGAGUUCUAACGACGUAUUAUACAAUAUACAAGGAGCUAUGGGAUGCUUGUGCUAGACCGUUGAUCACAGUGCCUCACAAGGUGAAAGGGUUUACUACUUUCCACAUGGUUAUAUGGAACAGUGACAAUGCUACUCAUGGGUCAUGGCAUUCACCAACAAGCAUGCUCUCUCCAAGGCAGCGCGUGCGUGUUAGUGUGUGUGGAUCACCACAUUAAUCAGCACCAUAACCAGAUUCUCUCCAAGGCAACAAGAUUCUAGGCAAGAUGAGCCGAAAGACCUGCCUUCAAUCAAUGGAGAAGUGGGAGGAGGCCCCGCUGCUGGAGCACAGGAAGGCGGAGCAUAAUGUGAGCGGCGACGGAGAGGCCCGGCUGGGGCGCCGGCUGUUGGAGGAGAACCGGACGCUGUGGGCGGUGGCGGGGCCAGCCAUCUGCACGCGCUUCUCCACCUUCGGGGUCACCGUUAUCAGCCAGGCCUUCAUGGGCCACAUCGGCUCCACCCAGCUUGCCGCCUACGCCCUCGUCUCCACCGUCCUCAUGCGCUUCAGCAACGGCAUACUGCUGGGCAUGGCGAGCACACUGGAGACGUUGUGCGGGCAGUCGUACGGGGCGAAGCAGUACCACAUGAUGGGCAUCUCCCUGCAGCGCUCCUGGAUCAUCCUGACCGGCUGCGCCGUGCUCAUGCUCCCCAUCCUCAUCUUCACUGAGCCUCUCCUUGUCUCCAUCGGCCAGGACCCCCUGAUCAGCGCUGUCGCGGGGACCAUCUCGCUCUGGUACAUCCCUGUCAUGUUCGCCAACGUCUUCAGCUUCACUCUCCAGAUGUACCUGCAGGCACAGAGCAAGAACAUGGUCAUCACCUACCUUGCAUUUGUCACCCUCGGUCUCCAUGUGUUCCUGCCGUGGCUCUUCACCGUCAGGCUGCACCUUGGGCUCGCUGGGGCCAUGACCUCCAUGGUCAUUGCCAUGUGGAUUCCUGUGUUUGGGCAGCUCAUCUUCGUCUUCUUUGGUGGCUGCCCUCUCACAUGGACCGGGUUCUCCUUCACAGCACUCACCGACCUUGUCCCUAUCCUCAAGUUAUCUCUAUCCUCUGGUGUCAUGCUCUGUUUGGAAUUGUGGUACAGCACCAUAUUGGUGCUCCUUACCGGGUACAUGAAGAAUGCAGAGGUUGCACUUGACGCUCUUUCAAUAUGCCUUAACAUCAAUGGUUGGGAGAUGAUGAUUUCUAUUGGCUUUUUGUCUGCAGCAGGAGUGCGUGUGGCAAAUGAGCUUGGAGCUGGAAGUGCAAGAAGGGCCAAGUUCGCCAUCAUAAAUGUCGUCACCACUUCCUUCUCAAUAGGCCUUGUGUUGUUCGUGUUUUUCCUUUUCUUCCGCGGAAAGCUUUCCUACAUAUUUACUACGAGUGAAGAGGUAGCUGCCGCAGUUGCUGAGCUGUCGCCUCUUCUAGCCUUCUCCAUCUUGUUGAACAGUGUUCAACCAGUGCUAUCAGGUGUUGCUGUUGGUGCGGGUUGGCAAAGUGUAGUUGCCUAUGUCAACAUCACAACAUAUUACUUGAUUGGUAUCCCUCUUGGAGCAAUCCUAGGUUAUGUUCUUGGAUAUCAUGUGAUGGGCAUUUGGGUUGGCAUGCUGCUCGGAACACUGGUCCAAACAAUUGUACUUGUGUUCAUAACAAUCAGGACUGACUGGGAUAAACAGGUAGAGGUUACCGAGGAGAGAUUGAAGAGAUGGUACAUGGAUGGGAACAAAGGGAAGUCAGAUUCAAGGGGAAAUCCAUGAGAUUAAAAAUCUGGCACAAGUAACGAAUCACCAUCAAGGUAGAACUUGUGUGCCCUGCUUGACCAGAGUUUGCGGCGUUUUAGAGGAUAACUACUUGUUCUUUCAAUAUGUUAAGAAUGAAAGGGGUGGAACAUUAGUUGGUGUCGUAGACGUGUCGGAGGUUGUUCCUCAAGAUCGACCAAAUGAUAGCAGUGACGUGUGCUCCACUUGAGAAGAAAAAACAUGUUGCUCAAGGAAAACACUUAAUCUGCCACUGCCUCAGCAUGUAAAAUAUGCCUUGGAUCGCUGUGAGCUGGUGGUACAAGUGUUGUUCUGUAUUGAUGGAUUUUGGUUGUGCUUAGCAAUAGCAAACAUGGUAUUUG
rnacentral:rRNA from 1 species